UCUUGACCUCGGAUCAGGUAGGGAUACCCGCUGAACU
rnacentral:rRNA from 1 species